AUGCUGUAAAUGUCUGUGCUCUCCACUUUCUCCUGAUUAAUUCUUGCUUGAGCAGUACUUGGCAGGAAAUCGUUCCUGGUUUUCCCGUGAUAGGCUCUCACAUCUUGUCUACUUCCUCAUUGCAAGAACACUUCUCACUAUUGCAGUUUGGCAUUUGUCUGUUUAUUUGACUAAUGUCUGUGUCCUCUGAUUGGACUUCGGGAGGACAUGAUAUGCCUGUAUUGCACACUGCUGUGUCCUUGAUACCUUGCUUCUUAAGAACUCAAAAAACAGUUGUAAGAUAAAGACCAAACACAAGAAUUUAAGGAGCUUCUGUGAAAGCCACUAGAGACUCACAAGGAAUGCCAUGGGCACAGUAGAAGCCAUGUUGGGGAUGAUAAAUGGCGAUCAUGUCCACUUUAUCUGUGACCUUGGACCACUGCAUCUGCACCAAGAAAUCUUUCUUCUGAAUAUGGCAGGUGUCUGAUGUUGCGAUGAAGAACCGGUUAUGAAAUUCUGCUUAACCUCUGACUCAGGAUCAUGCUAUUGCUAAAACUGGAUGCAUGAACCAGCGGGAGGGAAAUUGCCUGCUCAGCCCAAGACAGUUCAUACAGAUCCAAAUGGUGCCAGCCCUCAAUCGUCUCUUUGUCUUUGGAUACCUGCCAAAUUUCAUCUCAGGAGGACUUUAUUUUCUUUCAAGAGACCAAAAAUCAAUCACUUAAUUCUUGGUGAGGUUGAAGCGGAAGAUUAGAUCGGAUUAGAGUCACUUUUAAACACAAUCUUUUUGCCAUGCUUCCUGGGGGCCCAAGAAGCCCAUCAGACUCUCUCAUUAAGACAAUUAUUCUCCCAAGGCAGUGAUAUGGAAACUGCUUUUCUGCUGACCACACUCCAGCCUACAUUUAAACCAAAUCAGAGAAAUUAAGAGUGAAAAUAGGAAAUAUUUCCUAAAGAAUCUAUCAAAUCUGCGUCAGCCUUGUUGGGUGCAUGCUUUUAUCUGUGAUCAAGGCUGGCAAGUACUAUUAGCUUGUGCAAUAGACAAUUUAGAACCAUAAUUUCUGAGUUAGAAAAAUGAAAACAAUGAAAGUGGUGGUCAGAGUAAAAAAUAUGUUGAAUUUUAAUUAAUGAUAAAAUGCUAUGGCCAAGGAGACAGCUGCGGUUAGAAAGUACUGCUGGUGGGCCAGCAUUGUGCUGUAGUGGGAAAAGCUGCAGCCUGUGAUGCUGGCAUCCCAUGUGGGGGCCUGUUCAUGUCCCAGCUGCUCCACUUCUGACCCAGCUCCCUGUUAAUGGCCUGGGAAGAGCAGCAGAAGAGGGCCCAAGUGUUUGGGCCCUUAUCAUCAUGUGGGAGACCUGGAUGAAGGCCCUGGCUCCUGGACUCAGCUGGGCCAAGCCCUGGCCAUUGCAGUCAUCUGGGGAGUGAACCAGUGAGUGGAGGAUUUUUCUUCCUCUCCCUGUCUCUCCCUCUCUAUCUGUAACUCUGAUUUUCAAAUAAAUAAAUAAGUCUUUUUGGGGAAAAAAAGGAAAAAGAAAAUAUGGCUUCUGCCUCCUCCACAUCGCCAGCAAGUGCAUGGCCUCAGUGUUGUGGUGAAUGGCAUAUCUGCCCAGCUGGCUGCUCUGCUCAUAGGAGACACUUCUAUUGCUCAAAACAAUGGUGACAUGGGUCACAGACAUGCUGUGUGAAGGUUUGCCAGGUGCCAAAUGUGAACUGAGGUUUGACAAGCUGAAGUCCCUACUGUGUGACCUCAGAGUCUUUCCAAACUGUUUCCUCAUCUUAUCAACAUUAAUGAGCCAAUAAUACCUUUAUGUAGUUUUCUAACAUUUUAAGUCUUCAUCAUGCUGCUUCAUUUUCUUACAAAUACAUUUUGUAACAUGCAGUGAGUGAUAGGUGAAAUUUAUGCAGUGUCAACAUCGGAAUUUUAAUUACACAGAAAGACAGCAAAUGUAAAAUCAUGGCUCUCUGUGCUACUACAAUCCAAUGUCUUAGCAAAUACUUAAAAUAUUUUUUUUAUUUGCAUGUAUGGUAUUAGUUCCAUUUGUGCAGGUACAAUGUUAUAUUUGUUUGGGGAUUUUAAACUUGAGAUUUUUGCUGGCAUUUACAUUAUUAAAAACACAGCAUUAAUUUUGCCUAAACAGCUGUGUUUUUUUCAUUUCUUCUCUUCAAGGAAGAAUUAGUGAGAAUGGAAAUGGAACAGGGACAUUCCUUGGUAACUCAGAGACUGAGUCGCCAAUGUAAGCCUCAUGGAGGCCCCUGAAGAAAAGCAUGAAAUGAAGGGUAAAUGGCAAUGCUCUCACACGCUAUCACCCAGCUAUUCUCCACUGAAAAGGACCAGCCAGCUAAUUUGCAGGGAAGGCCUCUCCCACCCACAGGAUUAUAACUGAAUUGGAGCUGUCAGUAGCAUCGGAGUUAGAAACACAAAACUUGAGUUUGAGCCUGAGCUCUAUCAAUGACUAGCUCUGUGAAUGUACACAAGUUAUUUUAUUCUGUGAGUCUGCUCUCUUAUCUGAAAUGAAAAAAUUUCAGGGUCUUCUUAACUGGGAGAGGAAUUUUUCUGGGCUUUUAGGGGAUUAAAUGAACUCACAAAGAAGCACUCUAUACAGUGCCUGGUGCAUAGCGGGUAUCAAAUAUUAGGCUCUUUUUUCUUUUCCUAUUUAAUUAAUAAAGCAUGGCUUUUGAAAAAUUGUUCUGGAAGUUAUAUUUCCAAUGACUUUAGCACAGGCAGACUCAUUUGGAAAUCAUUUUAUAAUCUGACACUAUCCUAAUGGGAAGGGGUAGACUUUGAGAAUAUUCCAGUCCAAUUCCUUCAUUUUAUAGACAAGAAAAUUGACCCAGAGAGGUUAGGUGACACACUCAAGGUCACUCCGAUUCAUGGAGGCACAGUCAGGACUUGAAAGUAGAUCUCCUGCUCUGAGUCUCCUCCCUUUACCAUGCUGGUACCACUGCAGCUUUGCCCAAGAGGUACAUGUGGCCAGAGCACAAAGUCUGAGGCUUCAAGGGUACUUGUGAAGUUUCAGUGAGCUCACUGCUCUGGGAAAGUGGCUGAACCUGGCAUAUACUCAAGUCACAAUGGAAGAAGGAACACACAGUCUGCCCGAAAAAUAAGUCCUUCCAGGAACUGAAGGAGUAGUCAAGAGCUAACCUUGAGGCUAACAUAGAUCUGCCCUCAUAUACUUAUCCCCAUGGCCCACAGUGGUCUAUUGACUGCGUCCUAAAUAGCUCUAUGCAAUGGUGGCAAAUGAAAGUCUAGACAUUACCAAUGGGAUCGAAAUAGACUUGGGAGACUUCCAAAUUUAGCAUAUACCAUCUUUCCCACAGGCGUCUCCUCUUCAUAUUGGGCACACAGCCGAAGUUUUAAAAGCAAUUAAUGUUGUGUAGCACACUUCGGGGAAUACUCACCCAGCCCCAUUGAUGGACUGGAUAGGAUUUUUAUAGAAAGCAUUUGGAGCAAUGGUUUUAAGAGGUCAGUCUAAAGCUCAUGCCAGGCUGACUAGCUGACCAUCUAGGUAGGCCUCUACAAAGGGAUUUCUUCAGGCCCUUUCCCUGGAGAUCUUGCUCUGUCAGCCAGUGCACAAAGUCUGAAGGUCCAGGGUACUUGCGGGGUUUAAGUCAUCUCAUUAGUCUGGGCAAGUGGCUGAACUUGGCAUGUACUCAAAUCCCAAUGGAAAAAGGAGCAUUCAGUCUGCUUGACUUGAGCAUCUCUCUUUUCCAGAAGUAUACAAAAUGCAUUGAUGUGCAACCAUCACAUUAACUUAGGGUAGAAGGGGUUGGGAGGAGGGAGGAAAAGAGACUGGCAGUUGUGAGAGCCUCUAAGCCAAAAGCCUACCUUCAUGACACAGAGAAAUGUGGUGAUGUAAAAGAGGAUGGGGCAGUGGAGGAUGGCCCAAGUGCUUGGGCCCUGCACCUGCAUGGGAGAUCUGGA